GUAUCCCUGACCGUGCUAAGGUAGCAUAUAAGAUGCCCUUUAAUUGGGGGGUGGUAUGAAAGGACAAACGAGAGUUAAGCUGUUUUUAUAGUACAAAAUAAAUUUACAUUUAGGUGAAAAGGCCUAAAUUCAAUUAAAAGACAAAAAGACCCCAUAGAGCUUAAUUAAUAAAAAAUAAAAAAAAAAUAAAAUAUGUUUUUUUUUAUAAAAUACAUAAUUUAACUGGGGCGGUUAAGGAGCAAAUACCCUCCUUUCUUAUAAAAGGAAACAACCCUAUAAAGAUCCUUUACAGAUUAAAGAAAAAAGCUACCUUGGGGA
rnacentral:rRNA from 1 species